GGUAGAAUGGCUGAGUUAGGCGGUAAAUUGUAAAUUUAUUUAUGAAUUAUAUUCUUCUAUC
rnacentral:tRNA from 1 species